rnacentral:lncRNA from 1 species
UAAAGUACUUGAACCUAUUUUCCUUCCUAUGAUUUUUCCUUUUAUGAGGAACGGGUUUUUCACAUGACCUUUUUUUCUUUCCUCUCUUCCUCUUUUUCCUAAUUUUCUCCUUCCUUAACCUUCUCUUUUUCUUUGUCUUUUCUUUCUUUAUUUUCAAUUUUUUUUUCUUUUUUUCUUUUCCUUCAACCAUGGCUUUUCCCUUCUCGUCCUUCUUCUCAUUCUCAUUCAACUUUUCUGUUUCUAUCUCCUUGAUCUUUUUCACAGC